UACGUAGGGGGCAAGCGUUGUCCGGAAUUAUUGGGCGUAAAGCGCGCGCAGGCGGUUGGUUAAGUUUGGUGUUUAAGCCCGAGGCUCAACCUCGGUUCGCAUCGAAAACUGGCCAACUUGAGUGUAGGAGAGGAAAGUGGAAUUCCACGUGUAGCGGUGAAAUGCGUAGAGAUGUGGAGGAACACCAGUGGCGAAGGCGACUUUCUGGCCUAUAACUGACGCUGAGGCGCGAAAGCGUGGGGAGCAAACAGG
rnacentral:rRNA from 1 species